rnacentral:tRNA from 1 species
GUUUAAAUAGCUUAUUCAGAGUUUAAUAUUGAAGAUAUUACGGAGAUAAUUUUUAUCUUUAAACA